GAUGUUCCUGUUUAAACUUUGAGCAUGACUUUGAUUAUUGUAGUGUUUUAUAUACAAAUAGAGACUAUCUUUCCUGAACAUGGCAAGGAUGUCAGUUAUAUGGCUUUUGGCAAAAGCUUACACAGUUAUACUUUGCAUUUCAGAAAGUUCUCCAGUCUUUGCAACGAGACUCUGAAUAACGUCCGGUUGGGUCUUAUCUAGUCUGUUCUGCUUGCCUGGUUGAGUUCAGUUCUCAGACUGCUUUCUGCCUCUUUCCCUUUUCUUUCCCCUUUUAAAAGUAUGUAUUUCUUACAUCAUCUACAAUGAUUGUGUCAUGCUUAUUGUAUUAAUAGCACUUCACAUUUUCGAAGAAAAAGGACAAGAAAUGAUGUUAGUUUCUCCUGUAAUCUCAUUGGACUUUCAACUGAAGUGUGCUUUGACCAGAAAAUCACCACCAGAAAUGGAAACAGAUCUCUGUAGGUAUGGAGCACAUCAAAUACUAUUGCCUGGUUUGAUUUUCUAUUUCUGUUUACGUUAUCACUACCAUGAGACUGUUUUUUAAAGUUCCCCCGUGUCCUGUAGGAUAAGAUAGUAGCAUACUUCCCAUUUGGCUUUCAAGCAGUAAUUAAGCUGGGUUUAGUUUACCGUUUUAAUGAGGAGAACUCCCUACACAAUUCCCUGUAUCGUGCAUAAACACAGAUUCCUGUUUAUUCAGACAGAGAGAUCUGUUAGUGAUGUCUUAUGCUAACAUCUGUGUCUUGAAAUAAAACGAAGCUAUUUUUAAAAGUCCAUGAAUGAAUACAACGUGAAGGGAGGUUUAUGGACUAUUAAGCUGAUCAAAUGUUCAAGUGUAAACACCCAGGGAAAGAUGCCUGAGAUUAUUUAAUAUUCAGAAAAAUGUGAAUGCCUGGGAGAAAUAUUCCUGUGUGCAUUGAUGCAUUUUUUGUUCUACCCAUCCCUACACAAUAGAAGUCUGGUGGCAGCUUAAUGUUGGGUAUCUGGGAACAGAAUAAAGCUGAUACUGCCUGUUGUGUUCCUGUAGCCUGGAUGUAUAAGGAUGUGCAGCAGCCCCUCUGCAGGUUGUUUGGCUGGGCUGCUUUCCCUGGGAGACAGUGUGUUACUGAGAGGCAGACAGUGAGUGCCUCCAGCCCCGUGCUAUGUGUGGAUGGGGUGUUUGGGUCCUGCAGCUCUAAGCCCUUCAGGCUCCUGCGGGCAAUACAGCCUGCAAGGGCUGGGUGUGUUGGGUUCACGUGUGGGAGGCAGUGCAGGAGCAGAAAGUGAAAAUGCUUCAUUCCUGCAUGGACUGCCACAGAGCUGACCUGAAUUACAGCCCCUGCAUUGAAGCGACCACAGGGACUGCUCCAUGUCUAUUAUUUUCUAUGUCAUAAGGUGAGAAAAAGUGCUUCAUGAAGUGUUCUGUGGUGGAACUGCCUGGAUUUACUGCAACAGACAUGGCCAUCUUAAAUGGUGCUAGCUAUUCAGAAGAAUCCAUUUUUACCAAGCAAGUUGUUUAUUUUUACACAACAGAACAUUGAGAAAGCAUUUUCAAGUGGUAAUAAAUUCCCUGUGAAUGCAUGUGGCAAUGUCUGAGAAUAUUUUUAUUGAGACGGAAGCAUUAAAGUAAAAUACAGAACAGCUAAAUGUCAGAGUAUGGAGAGGGACAUUUACCAAUAAAAUAUAAAACCCACACACAGAAGAAAAGAAAAAGUUUUCUUCAAAGGCCUCUGUUGUAGAAUGUAUGUCUGUCUUCAUGAAACACAGCUUUAAGAACAGCUGCAAAACUAUGACAUGGUGACCCUCAAGCCCCAGCAUUUGCUAUAAGCAGAUGUUGAACUUAACAUUUUACUCAGUACAUUUCCACCAAGUACUGGUAGCCUUUUAAUAUAUCUAAUGCUAAUUUGUAUUUAUGGAGAUGUUUUUUGACAGUCUGAUAUGUUGUACAGUAUGAUAUGGCUGUAUACCUUUCUCAAAGUCCUGUAAAAACAGUGAAUUUGCAUUCUUCAUGAAACUGGGGCAUGUCCUGAGCAGGCACAACUUGACUUCAUAGUCAGUCGGCUCCAGUACCUUUGUUACACAUGAGUUUACCAAGAGCAUGUUGCUGAAAGGUCAACAGAUUGCUCAGUCUGGUCAAAACAUCGUUCCAAGUUUUAUAUUGCACAAGCUUUGCUCUUGAGAAAGGUCCCCUUGAGUGAUUCCCUUUUUAUAAGAAGUACAGUGCUGUUUUGCCACUGAAUUUUUAAUGCAUUUCUUCUUCCUGAAGUAUGUUGCUAAGACACACUACCUUGUUUUCCAUUCACCAUUCAAGCAACACUUCUACCAUACACUGGGAAAAUCACUUUGAGGAACGUGGGCUACCAACAUCAACACUGCUGAGCUGCUGUUCAUGACCACUUGUAGCACGAAUGUGUCCACCGAGGAGGUUGGAGUGUCAGUCUAUAUCAUCUGCCAUCUUUUGAGCUGAUGUCUCCAGGGGCCGCAGAGAGGUCAUGAGAGAACAUCAUCUUUGGCUCCAAGAUAUUAAUGGAAUUUCAAACUUGUUUACGCCAUCCAGCAAGUUACUUUUAGGCACAGUAAUGCAGGAAUGGCUGCAGGAUUAACUCUAAUCCAAGGUCAGCGAAAGAAAAUACGGAGCUUGGCAAAUGAAUUUUUGAUCCAGAGAUCCAUGUAUUCAUCUUAAUGACAGCACAUUGCUAACAUUAACUCACAGCAAACAUGCACAGAAGAAGGUGAGUUGUCAGACAAACAUGCAGUGCCUGAGGAGUCUUCAUGCGAAGUACCACUGCUGGGAGGGGAUGCUCAAUAGGAAACCAUCUUACCGACUUGCUUACAAAGUAGGGGACUAUUACACCCUGAUUUUAAAGAAAGGAAAUGCAAGCACAUAGCUGGUGUAUGGGAGCAACACAAGAAGUCUAAAGCACUCCCAGAUGCUGGAUCUACAACUCUAAGGACUGACUUGAUUUUUGUCGUUGUUCUGUGGCAAAUGUCUCUGUGAACAAGAGCUUGUAAAAAAGUUUCCAGACUAAAAGCAGCAUUCUUUCUGGCUUAGCUCCUAAGCAUAUUGGAUGAUCUUAAUAUCUGCCUUGUGAAUGCAUAUUGCAUUUAUUGUAAUAUUGCAACAUUUAUUGCAAUAUUGCAAAUUCACCUGUAUUAAAUGUUGAUCCCAUGCAGAGACAUUGAACCCCAUUUCAUAAGGGAACUCUUUCACGUGCUGGGAUGUAUCACUUGGAGGCUUUUCAAAUGAGGUUGUUUUGGAAUAGCUUACUUCUUUGCACUAGUUUCCUGAGCAAGACUUGCAGGCUGUCAAAUAUAAACACAUAUUUCAGUGGGAACAGUUUAUAAGAGCUUCAUUCUAAUAUAAAUUUACAUGAGUUUUGCAUUGGUGUAACUGCUGGAUCUGGAUGAGGAUCAGAUGUGAGAUCAGAUCAGUGCUCACCCUGUGGCCUCGCACAUCCCCUUCUGCCCUUGGCAGAGUGUUACCUCACCGCUGUGUGCUCCUGCACCAGAAGGGCUGGCUGCUGGCUGCCCCACGCUUGGAGGUGGUACCUGUCCCUUCCAGUCACCCACUUGUAAAGAAUUAACCCACUGUUAAGGCCUGCAGCAAAAACCAUGUCAGCCAGGCUGGGGAGAUCACCAUGGCUGCUUUUUCCCUCUGUUUCACCCCAGAUGAAUUAGUUGAUGUUACCCCAAAUUCAGUUUGAUUUCCCAUCCAUUUUCCUUUCUCAGCCUCUGUAGGUUCUGUCCCUGAUUUCACAGCCCUGCAAUCAGCUGCGUGCUGAAUUAAUGCUCUGUUUACCUUCUAGUCCAGAUUGUUAACAGCAUGACCCUGGUUCACAAAGUUCAUUGGCUUUUAUUAGCUUAAUUUGGUCCUUUAAUGGUGCUGCUCAUUCACCUUCAAAGCCUGGGAGGCUGACUUCUUUUUUUGCUCUUUUUAUUCAGAGCAAAAAAAAAAAAAAAAAAAUCAGAAAAAGAAUGAUAUUUUUGGUAUAUUUAUGUCUCAUGUCAGCACAGCUUUACUUUUAUUAUUGGAAUUUCCACUCUUUUUCUUCACAGAUAUCGUUCCUUGCUCAAGCAACAGCUCUUUCUUUAUCUUUUCUUUUCUUCUUUUUUUCUUUCCUCUCUGGAAAAGGACAACCAGUCUCUCCCCUCUUCUCUUUUGCCACCCCAAGCUUUUGUACAGCUCACAGCAUCAUUCCUAGAAAAUCUGCAAAACAUGAAUAUUGAGGGCUGGGGCUGCUUUCAGUUACUGGAAUGAGGCUGCUAACCUCAUUCUGCAUCUGAUUAAUACGUAAGUAGCAAGGAGGUGCCCUGUAGGGAGUCCAAAUAGGAAUCCCUUCUGUUAUAGGAUGCCACAGCUAUGAGUCACUCCAAAUGAGGAUCUUAGUAAAAACAUCGACAUCUCUAAACUAUUUGGGGAAAAUAAACAAAUCUAUCUAAAGGAAUGUUAACCUGUUGAUCCUACGGUGGCUUUUUUUUCCUUCUGAAUGUUCUUUGCCUUUGCUUGAGCUAAUAACAUUGCUUUACUACAGAAAGAGGUUUUAAACUGUGCACAGCGCGGUCCCUUUGAGCCUAAUGGCAAUGCAGAGAUGAGCGAUGCUUUCGUGUGUUGUGCCCUCAAAGGAUCAUUUUCAGGAACAAAUGUUGCAGAAUAAAAGUAAUAACCAAAAUUAAGGACAUUACAGAGCUAAUGUGAAGUUUAUGGCAUGACUGAAAUACCAAACGCUUACAUAUUAUCUAAAACUCCCAUGGGAGAACUUUAGAAGUAUAAAAAAAGCUCAAGUCAAAUUCUCACUUCCUUUUUACUACUGACACUUCAAAGCUCUUCCUGCAGAAAAUGUCAUUUCCAGGCUUGAGUAACUCUCCUCUUUGGGCGUUCCUUGCCCCUGGCUGGCAGCAUAUUUGCCAUUAUCAUAUUUUUCCUGCAUUUGGGUGCUGCUGCUAUGCUGUGUCCAGGCACAGCUGAGCACCCUGCCUCUGAGCCACCAAGAGGAGCAGCAGCCCUGAGCUCCCUGGACCUAGUUUUUGUCAGCAGAUUAUGGGUGCAGAGCCCUGUUUGUGGCUGGCAUGCUGGUCCUGUGAGUGGUGGCAGUGCUGUGAUGUGUUUCUCAGUGCAGACAGCCAACUGCUGCCAAGCCAUUUCCCAAGCGGAAUACAAUAGCCAAGCUUGGACGUCACCUCCAGGUUGAAAUCACUCCUCUCCUAGGACCAAAACACCUUUCAGUUAGAAUGGAGAUGCUUAGUCCUGUGAAAGUUGCAGCUGUUGUAGGUGUCAUGCAAAGGUGGAGGGAUACUCCCAAAGGAUGCUGCCAUAAACCUGGGGGCUGCAGGCACUGCUGCUUCCUGAAAUGCCAGGUAAAUGUUGUCAGAUCCAGGUAAUGGCUCUACUUUCUCUCCUCUGUCUCUAGAAUUUCUCUCUCCAUCUGGUUUCAAGUAGUCCUGCUGGGCUUUUACCAUCCUUCUUCCCACUGUUAUGUAGCUGAAUGCUCCAGAUUCCUACACCCACAGUUUUUCUGUAGAUGAGGCUUACGUUACUUGAGUUUUUGUUGUUUCAUCCACACACCCGGCAGGUUUUAGGGCACAGCAAUUCAUCUGCAGUGAACUAUAAUCAUCAUACGUUUUCUGUCAUUUUAGCAGAAUAUUAAUGUUGAGCCGUACACAAACCACAGUGAACUCUGGAAGUUGAGCUUCUAACCAAAACUAAAAAUCAGUGAGGGAAGUAAGGGAAAGCUAACUGUGAACUGGUGGUUUCUGCAGCCUGUUCCUUCAUUCUCAGCCCCAGGGAAGUGAUGGGCAACCUCUGUGAAGCCACGCUGCUCACUGUACAAUCUGCACCAGCAGCACUGCCUUUCCCACUUUGAAGAUGAGAAAUGCCAGGGAUUUCAGUAACUUUCACAGGCAGUAUAUGCAUGUUUUCUAAACUUGUCAUCAUUUGCUUCUGCUGAUUUUUAAAUAAGGCUGCUUCUUUUUCUUCAUCUUUGAAUGAGAAGAAAGAAACACUACAUGGGAUGCUCAGCUUUUUUAACUCAAUAUGUAAUCAGGAAAAGCCUGAGCAUCGUUGUCAUGAACAAAAACACACAGAUGGGACUCUUGUAAGUGUUUAAACACAUAAAUUGAAGUUUUCCAGUUUUCUCCAGGGGAUUUUUAUGCAGCAAAUGGUAGGAAAAAAUAAUGGUGUAGGAGGGAUUAUAAUGCCUUUCCAAUCAUUCAAUCCUAACGUUCCAUAAGUUAGUGUAAUCACUUAUUAGCGAUAGCAACAAUAAAAAAAAAACACAAAGAUUUCUAAUCUUGACUGUUGUUUUCUGCAGUUUAAUCAGUCGUUCAUUCUUUUGAUCAUUUGUUUUACAACUUCUUGACGCCCAUCUAACUUGAGGUGGCAUCCCCUCAGCUGCAGAGCAGAAAAUAAGGGACUAAAAUAAAAUUGUCAAACCUAAACUACUUUUUCUGUGUCUAUAUAACAGUAGUUUUGGUUUAUUCUAGAUACACCGACUAUUUAAAUGUCCUUCCCAAUUUAAUUACCUGCAAGAUAUGAAGUUCUUUAUCUGUGUUUGCAUGCCAUAUGUGUUUGGUUUGGCAAUAUUUCACAGAAGGCAUAUCUCCAAAAAAUAUUAACAACUACUGUUCAGAAGCAAACCUACCAUUAUUUAUCAUUUUUCCAUUUGGAUCACAGCCGUAGGUGUCAAAUCAGGAUUUUGGCCGAACAUUUACUUAAGUCUGAGUGGCCAGCAGGCUUUAACUGCAAGUAAAGAAUGCAGCCACACAGGUGACAAACAACAUGCCCCAGGAAAUGUCCAGGUGUGGCUGAAAAACCUUACGAUCUGGCUGAAGAACUUCCCCUCCAUGCUCCUCCUCCUUGCAUAGUGUUAUUAGUCUGAUCUCAGUUCACUUUUCAGAAGCCCAAUUUAGAAGAAAUCCUCUUAAAUAUUUACAGCUUCUAAUACUUUCAAGUUGUUCAAAGAAGCCAUGGAAUGAGUUUCAUUCCUUGGAGAAACCAUCAGCUUAGGCUGAAGUCAGUGGAGCUGCCUCACGAGCCAAAUCGAUUGACACUGUUGAUCUAACACUAAUUUCUUCAGCAGUAUUCUGCACUGUCCUACCAACAGUUGAAAUGUUAUUUUUUCUCUUCAUUUCUUUUUUUCUGCUUUGAGAUUACAGGUUACUUUGGGGCUUUGUGUAGAAAUGUUUGCUAAAUGUCCUGCAUUUUGGACCUGGGCAUUUGGACUAUGUUCAGGCUAUCCUUAAAUACUUUAUUUGAUCACCCUUUCUGACUCAAGGAGGCAAUACCUGGAGUCUUCCUGUUCCCCUAUGUGCUACCUAGCAGCCUUGCCCAGUCACGUUGGCAGUUGGGUUUGGCACUUUGCAGGAGAUGAUCCGAAAUGACCCUUAGCCACUCAUUCUGUGGCUAUGGCAAGUAACAGCAAAUCUCAUCCAAAUAUAAGUUGGUCUAAUGCCCCAGAUUAACACCCAGAAGCACAGAUCAGGUCACAUGGGCUGAAAUGCUUUGUUGGAAGUAAGAAGUCUUGGCUGCCUUCAGAUUCUCUGUGGGUUUAAAUGCAAUGACAAAUAGUUUAACAGAAUAGAAACUUUUAGGUAGUUCUACUGUCUUGUAAGAUACAUCAAAACACGACAAUAAAUUUAGUAGUGAGUAGUAGUAGUAUGUAAGGGGAGUCAAUUCUUUAUGAGGGUAGAUAAUGGCAGGACAAGGGGAAAUGGUUUUAAGUUGAAGGAGGGAAGAUUUAGGCUGGAUAUCAGGAGGAAGUUCUUUACCAAGAGAGUGGUGAGGUGCUGGAACAGGCUGCCCAGAGAGGUUGUGGGUGCCCCGUCCCUGGAGGUGUUCAAGGCCAGGUUGGAUGGGGCCCUGGGCAGCCUGAUCUAGUAUUAGAUAUGGAGGUUGGUGGCCCUGCCUGUGGCAGGGGGAUUGGAGCUGCAUGAUCCUUGAGGUCCCUUCCAACCCAAGCCAUCCUAUGAUUCUAUGAUAAAGAAGCAUGUCUACUUAAUGCAUUUUUUUUCAUGCUCUAUGAUAGUGUUUCUGUAAACUGCAUAAUCCACUUAUCAACUGAAGGCCCAUCACUUUUCCUUCUUGAGAGCCUAUCUAUUUUCAAUAGCAGGAAGGUGAUAUGCAUUAAUAAAUUCACACACACACAGAAAUCAAAAAAUUAUGCACUAGUUGCAGAAGCAGCAACACUAAUUGCUUGAAGUAAUGUGUCUACCUGGUAGUGUAGUAAAACUUGUAAGAACUGCAGCUGAAGAUGUGAAACAUCCUUUCACCUGGCUGUUCUGGCAAGAUAGAAAGAAAAAUCUUUACAGUCUUCUCCAGAGUCUUUGUUUAAUCUUCACCAUUGUAACAAUAUAUUUAUCUUUAAGAAUAUAAGAAAACAAGAGGUGAGAUUUUCAAUGGUUGUGAAUCCAAGGAAGCUCCUAGAGCUAUAAUGGCUUCAGCAGCUGGAGGUCAACCAACUGCAGACGCUUCUGCGGUUGCUGGCUAUGAAUGCUUGAAAUAUAUUAUUUAUAUAUAUACAGUAUAUAUAUGUAUAAGAAGCUGUGCAACACAGUGUGCCACAAACUCUAAAG
ensembl:lncRNA